rnacentral:rRNA from 1 species
GAUGAACGCUGACAGAAUGCUUAACACAUGCAAGUCUUUGGCGAAGCUGUGCUUGCACAGCCUAGCCAAGGCGGACGGGUGAGUAACGCGUAAGGAACUUGCCCUGCAGUCAGGGAUAACAGACGGAAACGACUGAUAAGACCUGGUAAAGUCAGGCGGACUCAUGUCCAGCCUGAUGAAAAGAGAUGCUGCAGGAGAGCCUUGCGUCCUAUUAGCUUGUUGGUGGGGUAACGGCCCACCAAGGCGAUGAUAGGUAGCCGGCCUGAGAGGGUGGACGGCCACAAGGGGACUGAGAUACGGCCCUUACUCCUACGGGAGGCAGCAGUGGGGAAUAGUGGACGAUGGGGGCAACCCUGAUCCAGCAAUUCUGUGUGCACGAUGAAGGUUUUCGGAUUGUAAAGUGCUUUCAGCAGGGAAGAAAAAAAUGACGGUACCUGCAGAAGAAGCGACGGCUAAAUACGUG